UGUUAAAAAUUUUACCCUUAUACUGUUAAAAGCUGGCAUAGCUAACAGAAUAACUAAACAAUAACACGUGGCAUGCCACAUGAACCUCAUGCUGACGUACAGGGACCAAUUUUUUAUAGCAAAACUGGAUGAAUUUUUUAACA
rnacentral:pre_miRNA from 1 species